GACAUCUAGCCGCUGAAUGCCAGGAAACAUCUGCCACAGCAGAUCGUUUUCCUGGGAACGGGGGAUCCAACGGAGAGGAAUUUCGAAUUCCGCUUCAGGGGUGAAUCGAGCCGCAGCCGUGAUGAGCGGGGCUCGUAGGGCGACUCUUCCGCCCGAAUCCGACAGCUAACCUCGUAAGCGUCCUGUAAGAGAGGCA
rnacentral:sRNA from 2 species